CUUCUCAAAUACUUUAUUCGAAAAAGAAGGAUGUAGAUAUUAUUAUUAGGGUUUCUUAGGCAAGUAUUACUGAGUAGACUUAGUGUCUAGAAACUCUCAAUGAUGUCUUUUUUUUUUUUUUUUUUUUUUACAUUUCAGUGUUAAUGGAAAUUUGCAGGCCCAAACUGAAGGAUGGGAAUGUGGUAUUGGAGUAAUCCAGACCCUGAAAGAUGUGUACGCCAAUUCUGACUUUUAUGUGCACUGCCUUGAUGACCAAUGAAGUUGCACACCUUUUCAUGUAUACUGGUCAUUUGGAUAUUGUCUUUUAUGGAAUGCCACUUCAAGUCUUUUGGAUUUGAACAGCUUUCAGAACGCUGCUGCACUUACCUGGUACACCUGCCUAGAAGCUGGAAGGAGUAAAUGCAAAGCCAAAACCUUGCUGCAUCUCUGUCAUUCACAUCGGGCUUCCUGUUAUUCCUAACAUUUAAAUGGACACAGAUACGGGUGGAAAAAGAGCAAAGGUGGCGGCCUCCAAGCCAGGAAGAGGGCCCUCACCUUGAACUGAGUCAGUCAGCACCAUGAUCUUGGACUUCACGGCCUCCAGAACGGAUUUCUCACUCUUGGAAGACUACUUCUGGGAACUCAGUCAUCACGCUGUGCAGUGCCCACGACAAAUGUACGGGACACCUCCUGAUGUUCCAACUGUCAGUCUCAGAUGAGCUCCCAGCCACCAGCCUGCAUCAGAUACUGACCAUGUGAACCGGCCAUCUUGGCCGUCCAGAACAACUGAUCCCACACAUGAUGCGACCAAAGUUGACAUUAUCAGGUAAGAAAGCCAUGUAGCUUAACACAGUCAACACCAAGACCAGCGAGCAAUAAUAAAACAGUUGUUGUUUUAGGCUACUAAAUUCUGGAGUGGCUUGUUAUGAGACAGUAAGUAACUGAAAUAGGGGGUGUCCGUGUGUGGGCGGGAAUAAAGGCAUGAGAACGGAAGAGACUUAACAGGCGAGAAAGUUACAUGAAAGAAAAGAGGCUGACAAGAGAAUCCUGGGACUUCAGAACUGCUACGCAGAAGAACAGAAGACGGCAACAGAAUCUGUGAAACAUGUUCAUAAAGGUAGAAGGGAACAGAGGAGAUUGGGAGUGACCUCUAAGCCAGUGGAAGAGACAGGAGCCACAGAGGUUAGUGCUAAUGAGAAAUCAAAUAAGAUACAGCUGGUAAUUGCUUGUUACAUUUAAUGACAUGGAAGUCAGAGGUGGUCUUAGCAAAAAUAGAUCGGCAAACUGACAGGGAAGAAGCCAGACUGGUAGAGGUAGAGGUAGUUGAAGAAUAAACAGUAAAUGAAUAGAGAAAAAAUGUAUGUAAAGGUUGAAAUUACCUGUAUCUGCUGAUGAAAAGGAAAACAGUACACAAGUCAGGGUGAGAGAAAAAUAUUUUACUCUUUCCAGAAAGGAUCCUCAAACAACAAUACAUCCAUUUAGGCACUGUCUAUGCCCAUUGUCCAAACACACAACAACCUCAAAAGAACAUUUGCUACAAAGCAGAUUUUGUAAUAACUUAGCUGUAUUAUGGAUCCAAAGGAAAUUAUUUACUGACAUA